rnacentral:miRNA from 1 species
GAGGUAGGAGGAUUGCUCGAGCCUGGGAGGUUUAGGCUGCAGUAAGCUGUGAUCUGCCACUGCACUCCAGCCUGGGCAACAGAACAAGACCCUGUUUCA